rnacentral:rRNA from 1 species
CGCGUAAUCGAAAUCCGAAGGAAGCCUAGCAGUAUCCAGAGUAGCACGGGACACGAGAAAUCCCGUGUGAACGAGCGGAGACCACUCCGUAAGGCUAAAUACUAACUGGUGACUGAUAGAGUAAUAGUACUGUGAAGGAAAGGUGAAAAGGACCCCGGGAGGGGAGUGAAAGAGAACCUGAAACCUUGUGUUUACAUACUGUGGAAGCACGUUAAAGUGCGACUGCGUACUUUUUGUAGAACGGUCCGGCGAGUUACGCAUAUAGGUAGGUUAAGGGCUAAGAGGUCUGGAGCCGAAGUGAAAGCGAGCGUUAAAAGCGCGAAGAUCUAUAUGUGUAGACCCGAAACCGGGUGAUCUACCCAUGAGCAGUGUGAAGUUGCUGUAAGAGGCAAUGGAGGCGCGAACACACAUCUGUUGAAAAAGGUGGUGAUGACUUGUGGGUAGGGGAGAAAUUCCAAUCGAACUCGGAGAUAGCUGGUUCUCCUCGAAAUAGCUUUAGGGCUAGCCUUUCUUUAGUCUACUGCAGGUAGAGCACUGAAUUUCCUAGGGGGCGUCAAAGUUUGCCGAAGAAUAUCAAACUCCGAAUGGCAGUUAGAUGAUGAGAAGGAGUCAGACCAUAUGAGAUAAGUCGGAUGGUCAAAAGGGAAAGAGCCCAGAUCUGCAGCUAAGGUCCCAAAGGUAGUGUUAAGUGUGAAAGGAUGUGCGACUUCAUAGACAGCUAGGAUGUUGGCUCAGAAGCAGCCAUACAUUGAAAGAGUGCGUAACAGCUCACUAGUCGAGAGGUGGUGCGCCGAAAAUACACGGGGCUAAAACACUACACCGAAGCUCAGGGAUUCGAAAGAAUCGGUAGAGGAGCAUUGUUAGUUCGUAGAAGCCGUACUGAUAAAGAGCGGUGGAGGGCUAAGAAGAGAGAAUGCCGGAAUGAGUAGCGAGACUGAAGUGAGAAUCUUCAGGACCGAAUAUCCAAGGUUUCCAGGGUAAAGCUUGUCUUCCCUGGGUUAGUCGGGGCCUAAGGCGAGGUCGAAAGACGUAGUCGAUGGACAACAGGUUGAUAUUCCUGCACUACUGUAUAUCAGAACUGUGGGGACGCGGUUUAAAGAGGUGAGUCAAGUGAAGGAACUUGAUUGGACAUGGAGGCCAGGUUAGGGGCAAAUACCUUAACGAAAUGGUAAGGACAUGAACGAUAGGGAACAAUAAAAGUAGCGAAAGAGCUGAAUAAACUGCCAAGAAAAGCCGCUAUUGCGUAUAUAGUACCCGUACCGCAAACCGACACAGGUGGAUGAGGAGAGAAUCCUAAGGUCGACGGGAGAAGUAUUGUUAAGGAACUCGGCAAAAUGCCCCGUAACUUCGGGAGAAGGGGUGCUGAUAGUAAUCAGCCGCAGUGAAUAGGCCCAAGCAACUGUUUAGCAAAAACACAGGUCUAUGCGAAACCGAAAGGUGAAGUAUAUGGGCUGACGCCUGCCCGGUGCUGGAAGGUUAAGAGGAGAGGUUAGCGUAAGCGAAGCUUUGAAUCCAAGCCCCAGUAAACGGCGGCCGUAACUAUAACGGUCCUAAGGUAGCGAAAUUCCUUGUCGGGUAAGUUCCGACCCGCACGAAAGGCGUAAUGAUUUGGGCACUGUCUCGACAAUACACCCGGUGAAAUUGAAAUGCCAGUGAAGAUGCUGGCUACCUGCGCCAGGACGGAAAGACCCCAUGGAGCUUUACUCUA